UCAACGGAUAAAAGGUACUCCGGGGAUAACAGGCUGAUACCGCCCAAGAGUUCAUAUCGACGGCGGUGUUUGGCACCUCGAUGUCGGCUCAUCACAUCCUGGGGCUGAAGUAGGUCCCAAGGGUAUGGCUGUUCGCCAUUUAAAGUGGUACGCGAGCUGGGUUUAGAACGUCGUGAGACAGUUCGGUCCCUAUCUGCCGUGGGCGCUGGAGAACUGAGGGGGGCUGCUCCUAGUACGAGAGGACCGGAGUGGACGCAUCACUGGUGUUCGGGUUGUCAUGCCAAUGGCACUGCCCGGUAGCUAAAUGCGGAAGAGAUAAGUGCUGAAAGCAUCUAAGCACGAAACUUGCCCCGAGAUGAGUUCUCCCUGAGACUUAGAGUCUCCUGAAGGAACGUUGAAGACGACGACGUUGAUAGGCCGGGUGUGUAAGCGCAGCGAUGCGUUGAGCUAACCGGUACUAAUGAACCGUGAGGCUUAACCUUACAACGCCGAAG
rnacentral:rRNA from 3 species